AAACAAUCCCUCAGAAAGUCCUAUAUAAAGUGCCGAUUGCACAAAUUAUUUCACAGACCAAGUUGAGUCGUCUCUAGCAGCGGUACAGCUCAAUUUCCCAAGCUCGAUUUACUUCUUUUUAAAAAACUACUGAAAAUGACUUGUAAAAUUGCCAUUUAUUGUCUUCUUCUUGUAGCCUUGAUUGGAUUGGUAUCGGCAGCUCCACAAUCUGGAAGAUCGCAGUACGGUUAUAGACACUAUUGCGAAAAGACAACGUUCCCUGGUGGAUCAACGAAGUCAAAAUGGUGGACUGAUGGAGAAUUCAUUCAACUCCCGUCCGGAUGGAGAGGAUUGGGUACAGAGGCAAGCUCGAUCGAUGAUGGCGGAAAAAUUACGCGUACCAAACAAUGGUAUGGACUGGAUCAAAAGUCUCCUGGAGGCAGUCUGUGCUAAAUUGUUAGAUUCAAACCAAAAUACAAAAUUGUUUUACGCUGUUCUGAAAAAAAAUUAACCAAUCCAAGUUUAAUGAAUAAAUCGAUUUACCACAUA